rnacentral:rRNA from 1 species
UACAGAGGGUGCAAGCGUUGUUCGGAAUUAUUGGGCGUAAAGCGCGCGUAGGCGGUUACUUAAGUCGGAUGUGAAAGCCCUCGGCUUAACUGAGGAAGUGCACCCGAAACUGAGUAGCUAGAGUACGAAAGAGGGUCGCGGAAUUCCCAGUGUAGAGGUGAAAUUCGUAGAUAUUGGGAGGAACACCGGUGGCGAAGGCGGCGACCUGGGUCGAUACUGACGCUGAGGUGCGAAAGCGUGGGGAGCAAACAGG